rnacentral:tRNA from 1 species
AGUAGCUCAGUCGGCAGAGCGUCCGCCUGAAAAGCGGAAGGUCACCGGAUCGACGCCGGUCUCGACCA